AAGGCACACAGCCCUGUCUUGCCAAGAAGUCACGUCUCAUUUUAAUCUCCAGGCAGAUGCUCGCUGCAUCAGACCUGGGAGUGGGGCCCCACACCCACCGCCCUCCAGCUCGCGUCCACGUCUAGACUGCAGGGUGGGGGGUCUUCGCACACAAAGCCAGCCCCGGGUGUGGGAAGAUGGAACGAGAACGAUUCCGGCGAGUAGAGCGUAACAGAUCGGGAUCACACAGACUUCAGGUGGUGGCAGAGAAAACCAGGAGAGACAGAGCGCCACUCACUAGAAUGCCUUGACAUCCGCGUGCCACACCUGGGCUCACCCACUUAGCAAAGAUUCACUCCGCCAGCACAAGCCUGCGGCUGCGCCUACUACUAUCUGCUCUGCACACCAGGUCUGAAAGAAACGAUUUUGCUCUUGCCCAAGGGCCUGUGAAAAGACAUCUUUCAGAAAAUCCACAGCCAGACUCUCCAAGACAGUGAAUUCUGCAGUUCUCCUCACCUUCUGUGGCUGCCUCAUUUGCCACUAUGUCCCUGGCGAUGGGGCCCGACUGCCCAGCCGAGGAUGGGACCGCCGCUGCCAGGAACCAGCUGGGGGCCAGAGAUCCUGCAUGUGGCACUUUAUUCCUGCUUCUGAUAUGUACAGCUCUACCUGCUAAGUGCUGAAAAGGACGUGUUAACAGAUGUGGCUCCCGCCCCGAGUCUGAGAGGUUUAUGUAAUGAAGGCAGUGAUGUCGGCAGAACUGAAGGAGGUAAAACACCUGUCUCCUUGCGUUGCGUCCUCUGUAUAAGCCGCCAGCUUCACACUGGCUUUCAAUAAUUACUUAUCAGAGAACACAUGAAGUCAAGGCAAGUUACAUGGAUCAGUUAACGUGCACAGCAAGCCCCAACAUCUAUAGGCUGAUUCUACCAUGUGUAGGAAUGCCUCUGGAUUUUGCCUUCCUUCCCCUUUACUUUUCAACCAAGGCUGUUUAUUUACUCAGCAUGGAUCAGCCUGACCAGAUUCUUGCCUCAUUUCUUCCUUAGGUCACCAGGGAAGACCUUUAAUUUUAAAAUGGCAAUUGAACCCCAUGGUGCUUGGCCCCCCUCACUGUCCACUUGGGGAGCACUCGAGCCAGGACUACAGCGAGGGUGGGGGUGGGGGGCACCCAUCCCACCAUGUAAAUGUGAAGGAGGAGCUGGGGAGCCACAGCAGGGGGGCCCAGGGAGGCUGGACCAGUUUCUUCUUUUUUUAAAAGAUUUUAUUUAUUGGACUAGUUUCUAACUCUUUCAGAGAUGAAACUUAUGGGCGGGCUAAUGUUUCAUUUCAGAGCCACAUUCCACCUAGAGUUCCAUUCUGUGCAAAAGCUACUCUGGGCAAGGCACUUUGCUGGGUGCUAUAAAGGGAAACAAAAAUGAGAAAAAUGCAUACCCUUGCCCUCCGGGGGCCCCUAGAUUAGGAUAAAAGAUGGACAGAGUAUGUUGGGAAAAAGGGAAGGAGGGAUCGAGAGAGGAGGGACCUGGGAAUCUGGUGGAGCAAAGUAGUGGGGGUUUAGAGGAGAAUG